GUCAAUGUCAUAGGUGGGAUUGGCCACGAUGCACAGGUUGUUCUCAAGAGCUUGCUUCUGGAGGUCUCUGGGGCUCGGCUCUGUGUUAGCUCUCAGAAUUGUCUUUUUCGGCAGCGGAGGUGGUGUUGGCUGUAAGCUGUUCAUUGUCUCCUGGUCCACUAUCCCUCCAAAGGCAAUGGCAUCGUCCAAAGCUCCCUUCGGCUGCCUCGGCUGUUUCGGAGGUAUCAUGGCUGCUCUGGACUGUCCUAAAUUGCUGUACGUGGCACUGCAAGGAUUCAAAUCAGAAGGAUGUGGAGCUUCUCC
rnacentral:lncRNA from 1 species